GCAGAGCUGACGGAGCACGCCGCGUGAGUGAUGAAGGUCUUCGGAUCGUAAAACUCUGUUAUUAGGGAAGAACAAAUGUGUAAGUAACUAUGCACGUCUUGACGGUACCUAAUCAGAAAGCCACGGCUAACUACGUGCCAGCAGCCGCGGUAAUACGUAGGUGGCAAGCGUUAUCCGGAAUUAUUGGGCGUAAAGCGCGCGUAGGCGGUUUUUUAAGUCUGAUGUGAAAGCCCACGGCUCAACCGUGGAGGGUCAUUGGAAACUGGAAAACUUGAGUGCAGAAGAGGAAAGUGGAAUUCCAUGUGUAGCGGUGAAAUGCGCAGAGAUAUGGAGGAACACCAGUGGCGAAGGCGACUUUCUGGUCUGUAACUGACGCUGAUGUGCGAAAGCGUGGGGAUCAAACAGGAUUAGAUACC
rnacentral:rRNA from 1 species